rnacentral:rRNA from 1 species
UUGAACGCUGGCGGAAUGCUUUACACAUGCAAGUCGAGCGGCAGCGCGGGGGCAACCCUGGCGGCGAGCGGCGAACGGGUGAGUAAUACAUCGGAACGUACCCAGUUGUGGGGGAUAGCCCGGCGAAAGCCGGAUUAAUACCGCAUAAGUCCUGAGGGAGAAAGCGGGGGACCGUAAGGCCUCGCGCGAUUGGAGCGGCCGAUGUUCGAUUAGCUAGUUGGUGGGGUAAAGGCCUACCAAGGCGACGAUCGAUAGCUGGUCUGAGAGGACGACCAGCCACACGGGAACUGAGACACGGUCCAGACUCCGACGGGAGGCAGCAGUGGGGAAUUUUGGACAAUGGGCGCAAGCCUGAUCCAGCCAUUCCGCGUGAGUGAAGAAGGCCUUCGGGUUGUAAAGCUCUUUCGGCAGGGAAGAAACGGUUUGGGCUAAUACCCUGAGCUAAUGACGGUACCUGAAGAAGAAGCACCGGCUAACUACGU